UACGAAGGGGGCUAGCGUUGCUCGGAAUUACUGGGCGUAAAGCGCACGUAGGCGGCUUCUUAAGUCGGUGGUGAAAUCCUGGAGCUCAACUCCAGAACUGCCUUCGAUACUGGGAGCUCGAGUCCGGGAGAGGUGAGUGGAACUGCGAGUGUAGAGGUGAAAUUCGUAGAUAUUCGCAAGAACACCAGUGGCGAAGGCGGCUCACUGGCCCGGUACUGACGCUGAGGUGCGAAAGCGUGGGGAGCAACAGG
rnacentral:rRNA from 1 species